rnacentral:rRNA from 1 species
UUUUGUCAGAAUAGAAGGUCUAGCCUGCCCACUGAAAAGUUAAAGGGCCGCGGUAUAUUGACCGUGCAAAGGUAGCAUAAUCAUUAGUCUUCUAAUUAAAGGCUGGAAUGAAUGGUUGGACGAGGUAUUAGCUGUCUCCCUAAAAUUAUCUAAAAUUUAACUUUUUAGUCAAAAGGCUGAAAUAAAAUUGGAGGACGAGAAGACCCUAUAGAUCUUUAUAUUGAAACUCUUUAACCACUUUAGAAGGAUUAAGGUUUAAUGGUUAAAAUAUUUUGUUGGGGUGACAGGAAGAUAAAUAAAACUAUUUUUAAUAUUUAAAACAUUGAUGUAUGAUUAUAUGAUCCGUAAUAACGAUUAAAAGACUAAGUUACC